GUUAUGAUUGCCUCUGUUGGGUUUGCUUGAUCAACCAUCGUUUCGGGGACUCUGAUGACGGUGAAGAGCCAGAAAAUGGUGACUUUGCAUCUCUGAGGUACCUUCCAACUCGCCUGGUAUAUCAGUUGAAGCCUCAAGCCCAAGCCAAUUGCACUGGCAAACUCCACCAUCUCGCCGAGUGCCAGGCAGCCGAGU